UACGGAGGAUGCAAGCGUUAUCCGGAUUUAUUGGGUUUAAAGGGUGCGCAGGCGGACGAUUAAGUCAGUGGUGAAAUGUAACAGCUUAACUGUUGAACUGCCAUUGAUACUGAUUAUCUAGAGUACAGACGACGUUGGCGGAAUGCGACAUGUAGCGGUGAAAUGCUUAGAGAUGUCGCAGAACACCGAUUGCGAAGGCAGCUAACGAGGGUGUAACUGACGCUCUUGCACGAAAGCGUGGGGAUCAAACAGG
rnacentral:rRNA from 1 species